GGGUAGGUAGCUCAAAUGGAAGAGCACCUGCUAUGCAGGCAGGAGGUUGUUGGUUCGAUUCCUUCCCUAUCCA
rnacentral:tRNA from 1 species